rnacentral:rRNA from 1 species
ACGCUGGCGGCGUGCUUAACACAUGCAAGUCGAACGAUGAAGCCUAGCUUGCUAGGUGGAUUAGUGGCGAACGGGUGAGUAAUACGUGAGUAACCUACCUUUAACUCUGGGAUAAGCCUGGGAAACUGGGUCUAAUACCGGAUACGACCAAUCUCCGCAUGGGGUGUUGGUGGAAAGCGUUAUGUAGUGGUUAUAGAUGGGCUCACGGCCUAUCAGCUUGUUGGUGAGGUAACGGCUCACCAAGGCGACGACGGGUAGCCGGCCUGAGAGGGUGACCGGCCACACUGGGACUGAGACACGGCCCAGACUCCUACGGGAGGCAGCAGUGGGGAAUAUUGCACAAUGGGCGCAAGCCUGAUGCAGCGACGCCGCGUGAGGGAUGACGGCCUUCGGGUUGUAAACCUCUGUUAGCAGGGAAGAAGAGAGAUUGACGGUACCUGCAGAGAAAGCGCCGGCUAACUACGUGCCAGCAGCCGCGGUAAUACGUAGGGCGCGAGCGUUGUCCGGAAUUAUUGGGCGUAAAGAGCUUGUAGGCGGUUUGUCGCGUCUGCUGUGAAAGGCCGGGGCUUAACUCCGUGUAUUGCAGUGGGUACGGGCAGACUAGAGUGCAGUAGGGGAGACUGGAAUUCCUGGUGUAGCGGUGGAAUGCGCAGAUAUCAGGAGGAACACCGAUGGCGAAGGCAGGUCUCUGGGCUGUAACUGACGCUGAGAAGCGAAAGCAUGGGGAGCGAACAGGAUUAGAUACCCUGGUAGUCUAUGCCGUAAACGUUGGGCACUAGGUGUGGGGGACAUUCCACGUUUUCCGCGCCGUAGCUAACGCAUUAAGUGCCCCGCCUGGGGAGUACGGCCGCAAGGCUAAAACUCAAAGAAAUUGACGGGGGCCCGCACAAGCGGCGGAGCAUGCGGAUU